GGGGAAUAUUGCACAAUGGGCGCAAGCCUGAUGCAGCCAUGCCGCGUGUAUGAAGAAGGCCUUCGGGUUGUAAAGUACUUUCAGCGGGGAGGAAGGGGUUAAGGUUAAUAACCUUAGCCAUUGACGUUACCCGCAGAAGAAGCACCGGCUAACUCCGUGCCAGCAGCCGCGGUAAUACGGAGGGUGCAAGCGUUAAUCGGAAUUACUGGGCGUAAAGCGCACGCAGGCGGUCUGUCAAGUCGGAUGUGAAAUCCCCGGGCUCAACCUGGGAACUGCAUUCGAAACUGGCAGGCUUGAGUCUCGUAGAGGGGGGUAGAAUUCCAGGUGUAGCGGUGAAAUGCGUAGAGAUCUGGAGGAAUACCGGUGGCGAAGGCGGCCCCCUGGACGAAGACUGACGCUCAGGUGCGAAAGCGUGGGGAGCAAAC
rnacentral:rRNA from 1 species